UCUUCGAUGGUCUAGUGGUCAUGAUUUCCGCUUGUCAAACUCCAACGAGUUAACAAGCGCGGGAGACCGGGGUUCGAUUCCCCGUCGGAGAG
rnacentral:tRNA from 1 species